rnacentral:rRNA from 1 species
UACGGAGGGUGCAAGCGUUAAUCGGAAUUACUGGGCGUAAAGCGCACGCAGGUGGCUGAGCGAGUCGAUUGUGAAAGCCCUGGGCUUAACCUGGGAAUUGCAGUCGAUACUACUCAGCUAGAGUAUGGGAGAGGGUAGUGGAAUUCCCGGUGUAGCGGUGAAAUGCGUAGAUAUCUGGAAGAACACCGGUGGCGAAGGCGGCCUCCUGGACGGUGACUGACGCUGAGACGCGAAAGCGUGGGGAGCAAACAGG